rnacentral:rRNA from 1 species
UCGCGUCCUAUCAGGUAGUCGGCGGGGUAACGGCCCACCGAGCCUACGACGGGUAGCCGGCCUGAGAGGGCGACCGGCCACAUUGGGACUGAGAUACGGCCCAGACUCCUACGGGAGGCAGCAGUGGGGAAUAUUGCACAAUGGGCGCAAGCCUGAUGCAGCGACGCCGCGUGCGGGAUGACGGCCUUCGGGUUGUAAACCGCUUUUGAUCGGGAGCAAGCCUUCGGGUGAGUGUACCUUUCGAAUAAGCACCGGCUAACUACGUGCCAGCAGCCGCGGUAAUACGUAGGGUGCAAGCGUUAUCCGGAAUUAUUGGGCGUAAAGGGCUCGUAGGCGGUUCGUCGCGUCCGGUGUGAAAGUCCAUCGCUUAACGGUGGAUCUGCGCCGGGUACGGGCGGGCUGGAGUGCGGUAGGGGAGACUGGAAUUCCCGGUGUAACGGUGGAAUGUGUAGAUAU